rnacentral:tRNA from 1 species
UCUAAAAUGGCAGAAAAGUGCGAUGGAUUUAAGCUCCAUAUAUGAAGGGUUUCCCUUCUUUUAGAAC